GGUUGUAGCUCAGUGGUAGUGUCCUUGUCUUGCAUGUGUGAGGCACUGGGUUCGAUCCUCAGCAUCA
rnacentral:tRNA from 1 species